AGGGCUGUAGCUCAGUGGUAGAGCACUUGCCUAGCAUGCAUGAGGGCAUAGGUUCAGUCCUCAUCACUGCUG
rfam:Mesocricetus auratus contig138500, whole genome shotgun sequence.